UACGGAGGGUGCGAGCGUUAAUCGGAAUUACUGGGCGUAAAGCGCGCGUAGGCGGUUUGCUAAGUCGGAUGUGAAAUCCCCGGGCUCAACCUGGGAAUGGCAUUCGAUACUGGCCGACUAGAGUACGAGAGAGGGAGGUAGAAUUCCACGUGUAGCGGUGAAAUGCGUAGAUAUGUGGAGGAAUACCGGUGGCGAAGGCGGCCUCCUGGCUCGAUACUGACGCUCAGGUGCGAAAGCGUGGGUAGCAAACAGG
rnacentral:rRNA from 1 species